CUGGUUUUAAGCUUUGUGUAUAUUCCAUAAAAUAUUUGUUUUUAUCACAUAGCCUAGAUUGUAUGUGGGACGUGGGAUGCAAGAAAGCCAUGUCUCUGUGCUGAAGUACACAUUGUUCUGGAUACUAGUACUAUUGUGCAGAUUUUCUUUCAACUACUGGUUUGAGCCAGUGGAAUAAUGCAGAUAAAGCCUCUCAUAGGACCAACAAAGCAGAUCAUGAAAAUUGGUGUGAAAAUUUAUGACUGGCAUGAGCUUUUCCCAAAAGUACAGAAUAACGUUGGUGCAAUAAUGGCAGUAUGGGCUCCUAUAGUAGUUGUGAGUGUUGUUUGUCACACUCACUUCUUGAUAAUAUCUGCACUAGUUAUGGAAGCCCAUCUUAGUUUAAAUUUAUUAAUGACGAACAUUGUAAAAUAUCUUGAACAAAGAAUUAGGGAAGAAGUUAGAAGCUUAGUUUAUAGAUCAACCUGGUCUAGCAUAAAUGCUUGACACAUUAUUUUAUUUCUACUUUACAAGUAUAUUUCAUGGACACAUAGAUAUGGUAUUCUGUAUUCUGUACAAUAUUUGGUGGACUUUAUGGUAUUUUGCAUCACCUUGGUGA